rnacentral:rRNA from 1 species
UACGGAGGGUGCAAGCGUUAAUCGGAAUUACUGGGCGUAAAGCGUGCGUAGGUGGUUUGUUAAGUCCGUUGUGAAAGCCCCGAGCUCAACUUGGGAAUUGCAGUGGAUACUGGCAAGCUGGAGUGCGGUAGAGGAAGGUGGAAUUCCCGGUGUAGCGGUGAAAUGCGUGAGAGUAGGCGGAGGAACACCAGUGGCGAAGGCGGCCUUCUGGACCAGCACUGACACUCAAGCACGAAAGCGUGGGGAGCAAACAGG